rnacentral:rRNA from 1 species
GACGUAGGGGGCCAGCGUUGUUCGGAAUUACUGGGUGUAAAGGGUUCGUAGGCGGUGCGGCAAGUUGGGAGUGAAAUCUCUGGGCUUAACCCAGAGGCUGCUUCCAAAACUGCUGUGCUUGAGUGUGGGAGAGGCGAGUGGAAUUCCCGGUGUAGCGGUGAAAUGCGCAGAUAUCGGGAGGAACACCAGUAGCGAAGGCGGCUCGCUGGGCCAUUCCUGACGCUGAGACGGCGAAAAGCUAGGGGAGCGAACAGG